rnacentral:tRNA from 1 species
GGGGAUGUGGCUUAAUGGUAGAGUGCUUGCCUAGCAUGCAUGAAGCCCAGGGGUCGACUCCUCAGUACCA